rnacentral:rRNA from 1 species
UACGUAGGGUGCAAGCGUUGUCCGGAAUUAUUGGGCGUAAAGAGCGUGUAGGCGGUCCGGUAAGUCCGCUGUGAAAGUCCAGGGCUCAACCCUGGAAUGCCGGUGGAUACUGCCGGGCUAGAGUCCGGAAGAGGCGAGUGGAAUUCCUGGUGUAGCGGUGAAAUGCGCAGAUAUCAGGAGGAACACCGAUGGCGAAGGCGGGUCUCUGGGCCGAAAUUGACGCUGAGGAGCGAAAGCGUGGGGAGCAAACAGG